AGAGUUUGAUCAUGGCUCAGAUUGAACGCUGGCGGAAUGCUUUACACAUGCAAGUCGAACGAUGAACCUUAGCUUGCUAAGGGGAUUAGUGGCGAACGGGUGAGUAAUAUAUCGGAACGUGCCUUGUAAUGGGGGAUAACUAGUCGAAAGAUUAGCUAAUACCGCAUACGCCCUGAGGGGGAAAGUAGGGGAUCUUCGGACCUUACGUUAUAAGAGCGGCCGAUAUCUGAUUAGCUAGUUGGUGGGGUAAUGGCCUACCAAGGCUUCGAUCAGUAGCUGGUCUGAGAGGACGACCAGCCACACUGGAACUGAGACACGGUCCAGACUCCUACGGGAGGCAGCAGUGGGGAAUUUUGGACAAUGGGCGCAAGCCUGAUCCAGCCAUUCCGCGUGAGUGAAGAAGGCCUUCGGGUUGUAAAGCUCUUUCGCAAGGGAAGAAAACUUACAUUCUAAUAAAGUGUGAGGCUGACGGUACCUUGAUAAGAAGCACCGGCUAACUACGUGCCAGCAGCCGCGGUAAUACGUAGGGUGCGAGCGUUAAUCGGAAUUACUGGGCGUAAAGCGUGCGCAGGCGGUUUGGCAAGUCAGAUGUGAAAUCCCCGAGCUCAACUUGGGAACUGCGUUUGAAACUGCCAGACUAGAAUAUGUCAGAGGGGGGUAGAAUUCCACGUGUAGCAGUGAAAUGCGUAGAGAUGUGGAGGAAUACCAAUGGCGAAAGCAGCCCCCUGGGAUAAUAUUGACGCUCAUGCACGAAAGCGUGGGGAGCAAACAGGAUUAGAUACCCUGGUAGUCCACGCCCUAAACGAUGUCUACUAGUUGUUGGUGGAGUAAAAUCCAUGAGUAACGCAGCUAACGCGUGAAGUAGACCGCCUGGGGAGUACGGUCGCAAGAUUAAAACUCAAAGGAUUGACGGGGGCCCGCACAAGCGGUGGAUUUUGUGGAUAAUUCGAUGCACGCGAAAACCUUACUGGCCUGACAUGCCACUAACGAAGCAGAGAUGCAUAAGUGCCGUAAGGAAAGUGGACACAGGGCUGCAUGGCUGUCCUUCACUCUGGUCGGGAGAGGUUGGGUUAAGUUUUGGAAAAGGGCAACUUUGCGUUAUUGUCCUCAUAUUAUUU
rnacentral:rRNA from 1 species